CCUACGGGGGGCAGCAGUGGGGAAUAUUGGACAAUGGGCGCAAGCCUGACCCAGCAACGCCGCGUGAAGGAAGAAGGCUCUCGGGUUGUAAACCUCUUUUCUGAGGGACGAAGAAAGUGACGGUACCUCAGGAAUAAGCCACGGCUAACUACGUGCCAGCAGCCGCGGUAAUACGUAGGUGGCAAGCGUUAUCCGGAUUUAUUGGGUGUAAAGGGCGUGUAGGCGGGAAAGCAAGUCAGAUGUGAAAACUCAGGGCUCAACCCUGAGCCUGCAUUUGAAACUGUUUGUCUUGAGUGCUGGAGAGGCAAUCGGAAUUCCGUGUGUAGCGGUGAAAUGCGUAGAUAUACGGAGGAACACCAGUGGCGAAGGCAGAUUGCUGGACAGUAACUGACGCUGAGGCGCGAAAGCGUGGGGAGCAAACAGGAUUAGAUACCCGAGUAGUC
rnacentral:rRNA from 1 species